CUAAUUUGAGCUUCUAAAGACUCAAACCGAGAGGCCAACUCUUCAUUCUUUUUCUUCAACUCUUCAUUCUCCUUUUGCAAAUUGAGAUAAGUUUUUCUACAGGAAAUUGCAAUACAAGCGUGAACACGCCUUUUUCCAGAAAAAAAUAGCAAAUUAUCAAAGAAACUAGAAAAUUACAAUACAAGCGCGAACACGCCUUUUUCCAAAAUAAAAGUAAUUAAACAACUAGCUCAAUAAACACAACAGCUAAAUUCUGGAGUCAAUAACAUUUAUUCCUUUAGGUUGCAAUGAAUAUAAUUUUGGAAUUCUCAAAUACUCUAAAUAGAGUAAUACACUAACAGCCCAUUCAUUUCACUAUAUAUAUAUAGGAUAUUAAUUUCAUAGAAUGAGACAUCUAGUACCCUAUGUGCCCAUCUCAACAUUACUUCUAUUUUAAAUACUCUCUGCAUUUUUAUUAAGUAGACUUUGUUAAAUUUAACUCAAAGAAGACAAUGAACAUGAAACGCAUGCUAGCUUAUGGAUACAGAUUUUCUACGCAAUUCACAGCACAAUUUUAGAGAACAAGUAACAACAAACUAACACAGCCACCUUCUCGAGCAUGGACCUCAAGAAAGGAGAGUUCUCACUUUUUUAUGCAGAUGUAAGGGAACUAAAACAAAGAGAACUUCGGAAAGAAAAUCCCUCAUACCUUCUCUAAUUUAUUCACACCUUUCGCAUAUAUAUUCUUUCUUUUGCAGCAGAGCAAGACCAAACAUAUAGUGGACCUGAAAUGCAAAGGCAUCCAAAAUUACAAGUGUAUCAGAUUUUGUACGAAUACACUUUUAAUAGGAAAAAUAAAGUUGGUGUAUCUGAUGAUAAGUUUGUAGGUGAGAAGAAACACGUGGAAUACUUCGAAUCAAUCGGGCAUCUAAUUAGGAUGACUCCCCACAUCGACAACCAGAGGAUACUAAAGAAGAUUCUCCAUUUGAAGGAUGAUCAAUAACAAAAACAAACAACAAAGGUAGCUAGAUAUAUCUCUUCAUGAAAUCCCAAUAAAAUUAUACUAUAUAGAAUGUUUUUUCUAACACUAAUUUGAGAUGGCAAGCAACAUGAUCAGCAAAGUAAUACAUAAUCAAUAACUUAUGCAAAAUUUGAGAAACAUAACAUUUACAUUGAAAUAUGAGCAUCAAGAACAUUAAUUACUAUUCAAGUUAUUGAAAAAAGUAUUAACAGUUGAAAAACCUCCAUCUCACCUCACCAUCAUCCACCGCCUAAUCUGUCAAAGUGGAAACAGCAAAAACAACUCCCAACAGACCCUCAAUAGCCAAAGUGAUGGCAUGUGCUUCACUAG
rnacentral:lncRNA from 1 species